rfam:Erinaceus europaeus unplaced genomic scaffold scaffold00878, whole genome shotgun sequence
GUAGGUGAGGGUGUAGAGAAGAAAAAAAAAAAAAACUCAUACAUAGUGCCAGUGAGAAUGAAAAUUGUUCCCUUCUUCCCUCACCAUUCCAUGUGGAUCCCUUCCGAAGCUGCGUGCUUGGUCAAAGAGGUCGGCCAUUCCUAAAUAGAGACCCACUGGUCUUAGGUCGAGGGUAUAAGAGUAGCUGCACUCUCCUGCUAGAACCUCCAAACAAGUUCUCAAGAAAGAAAAGUGUUGAUGUCUUUAUAAGUAAUGGCAUGGAAGUCCUCAGAAAAUAAAAUUGAAAAUACCGCAUGAUCCAGCAACACCAUCCCUCAGUAGUGAUCUGAAUUGCAUGAAAGU